AGUUUUACCGGAAACAAAGUAAUGAAAAGAGAUGCGGUGGGGUGUGGCGGGGCCUGCCCCUGCCGGAAGAAGUUUGGGUGCAGCCCAGUAUUCAAGCUCCAGGACAAAGGGGGCGGGGAGGCCGCCACUAGCAAACAAUCUCAGCUUCAUAAACCCAGCAGAAAGGUCCGGGGUAUCGUUGAAAAGGUCGGAAGGACCAAGAUUAUGUCCGCCCGCCUAAGUGGGAUGAACAAUCAAGUUGUGCGAUGCAGCUUUAAAGGGGCUGGUGAUUGACAGAAUGGUGUAGUAGUGGAUGGGGUGGAGCCGCUGGGUGGGGUCGAGACUGGCAGCUGAGAGAUAACAAAAGGAAGAAAAAAGAAAACCAUUGCCCUUGAUAUUGCUAAUUCCGGGGGAGGGAAGCUAACUAGAAAGUAGGGAAAAGGAAGGUUUUAGAGUUCACCUCCACUCCUUCCUCUGGCUAACACUCUUUACACUCUUCUGCCUUCCCUUGAGAUAAUUAAAAUAGACUGUACACCGGCCCUAGUCGGUGCCCAUUCCCCCUAACUCUUCACUCAACUACGUGUGUAGUCCGAGGGAGUGAGGACCCCGAGUCCAAGAGCUCAAUCCUGGCCCCGCCCCGUCGGCCCAGGCCCCGGGGCUGGGAGGAGAUGAUGCCUUCGGAGGCGCAGAAUCCGAAAAGACGUGGAUGGAGCUGGAAGCUGUUAUCCUCAGCAAACUAAUGCAGGAGCAAAAAAUCAAAUACUGCAAGUUCUCACUUGUAAGUGGGAGCUGAAUGAUGAGAACAUUUGGACAUGGUGAGGGGAGGGCAACAUGCAGUGGGGCCUGUUGGGGAGUAUGGCGUGAGGGAAAGCAUCAGGAAAAUCGCUAAUAGAUGCUGGGCUUAAUAACUUGGUGAUGGGAUGAUCUGUGCAGCAAACCACCACGGCACAUGUUUACUAAUGUAACAAACCUGCACAUUCAGCAUAUGUACCCCUGAACUUAAAAUAAAGCAAAAUAAAAAUAAAAA
rnacentral:lncRNA from 1 species